UCAAAACAAGAAUUUAAGAUAAACUGAAUAGUCAGCCGACAAAUUCUGUUGCAGAAGACAAACUGACCACCCAGCAAAAAUCUGUUGAGUAAGAUCCGAGCCCAAUUUGGGAGUAGUGACAGGUUUGGGUAGGAGGGGCCCAAGACGGCAACUCACCCAAUAAGAACAGGUAACCU